rnacentral:rRNA from 1 species
AGAGUUUGAUCCUGGCUCAGGAUGAACGCUAGCUACAGGCUUAACACAUGCAAGUCGAGGGGCAUCAGGAAGAAAGCUUGCUUUCUUUGCUGGCGACCGGCGCACGGGUGAGUAACACGUAUCCAACCUGCCCUUUACUCGGGGAUAGCCUUUCGAAAGAAAGAUUAAUACCCGAUAGCAUAAUGAUUCCGCAUGGUUUGAUUAUUAAAGGAUUCCGGUAAAGGAUGGGGAUGCGUUCCAUUAGGUUGUUGGUGAGGUAACGGCCCACCAAGCCUUCGAUGGAUAGGGGUUCUGAGAGGAAGGUCCCCCACAUUGGAACUGAGACACGGUCCAAACUCCUACGGGAGGCAGCAGUGAGGAAUAUUGGUCAAUGGGCGCGAGCCUGAACCAGCCAAGUAGCGUGAAGGAUGACUGCCCUAUGGGUUGUAAACUUCUUUUAUAUUAGAAUAAAGUGCAGUAUGUAUACUGUUUUGUAUGUAUAAUAUGAAUAAGGAUCGGCUAACUCCGUGCCAGCAGCCGCGGUAAUACGGAGGAUCCGAGCGUUAUCCGGAUUUAUUGGGUUUAAAGGGAGCGUAGGUGGACUGGUAAGUCAGUUGUGAAAGUUUGCGGCUCAACCGUAAAAUUGCAGUUGAUACUGUCAGUCUUGAGUACAGUAGAGGUGGGCGGAAUUCGUGGUGUAGCGGGGAAAUGCUUAGAUAUCACGAAGAACUCCGAUUGCGAAGGCAGCUCACUGGACUGCAACUGACACUGAUGCUCGAAAGUGUGGGUAUCAAACAGGAUUAGAUACCCUGGUAGUCCACACAGUAAACGAUGAAUACUCGCUGUUUGCGAUAUACAGUAAGCGGCCAAGCGAAAGCAUUAAGUAUUCCACCUGGGGAGUACGCCGGCAACGGUGAAACUCAAAGGAAUUGACGGGGGCCCGCACAAGCGGAGGAACAUGUGGUUUAAUUCGAUGAUACGCGAGGAACCUUACCCGGGCUUAAAUUGCAGUGGAAUGAUGUGGAAACAUGUCAGUGAGCAAUCACCGCUGUGAAGGUGCUGCAUGGUUGUCGUCAGCUCGUGCCGUGAGGUGUCGGCUUAAGUGCCAUAACGAGCGCAACCCUUAUCUUCAGUUACUAACAGGUCAUGCUGAGGACUCUGGAGAGACUGCCGUCGUAAGAUGUGAGGAAGGUGGGGAUGACGUCAAAUCAGCACGGCCCUUACGUCCGGGGCUACACACGUGUUACAAUGGGGGGUACAGAAGGCAGCUACCUGGUGACAGGAUGCUAAUCCCAAAAGCCUCUCUCAGUUCGGAUCGAAGUCUGCAACCCGACUUCGUGAAGCUGGAUUCGCUAGUAAUCGCGCAUCAGCCACGGCGCGGUGAAUACGUUCCCGGGCCUUGUACACACCGCCCGUCAAGCCAUGAAAGCCGGGGGUACCUGAAGUACGUAACCGCAAGGAGCGUCCUAGGGUAAAACUGGUGACUGGGGCUAAGUCGUAACAAGGUAGCCGUACCGGAAGGUGCGGCUG